rnacentral:rRNA from 1 species
GGCCGAUGGCGACCGGCGCACGGGUGAGUAACACGUAUCCAACCUGCCGUCUACUCUUGGACAGCCUUCUGAAAGGAAGAUUAAUACAAGAUGGCAUCAUGAGUCCGCAUGUUCACAUGAUUAAAGGUAUUCCGGUAGACGAUGGGGAUGCGUUCCAUUAGAUAGUAGGCGGGGUAACGGCCCACCUAGUCUUCGAUGGAUAGGGGUUCUGAGAGGAAGGUCCCCCACAUUGGAACUGAGACACGGUCCAAACUCNUACGGGAGGCAGCAGUGAGGAAUAUUGGUCGAUGGGCGAGAGCCUGAACCAGCCAAGUAGCGUGAAGGAUGACUGCCCUAUGGGUUGUAAACUUCUUUUAUAAAGGAAUAAAGUCGGGUAUGGAUACCCGUUUGCAUGUACUUUAUGAAUAAGGAUCGGCUAACUCCGUGCCAGCAGCCGCGGUAAUACGGAGGAUCCGGGCGUUAUCCGGAUUUAUUGGGUUUAAAGGGAGCGUAGAUGGAUGUUUAAGUCAGUUGUGAAAGUUUGCGGCUCAACCGUAAAAUUGCAGUUGAUACUGGAUAUCUUGAGUGCAGUUGAGGCAGGCGGAAUUCGUGGUGUAGCGGUGAAAUGCUUAGAUAUCACGAAGAACUCCGAUUGCGAAGGCAGCCUGCUAAGCUGCAAC